rnacentral:rRNA from 1 species
UACGUAGGGUGCGAGCAUUGUCCGGAGUUACUGGGCGUAAAGCGCACGCAGGCGGUCUCUUAAGUUUUGGAGUGACAGUUGGUGGCUUAACUGCCAAAGUGCUUCGAAAACUGAGAGACUUGAGGGCUUCAGAGGGACACGGAAUCCGGGUGGAGUGGUGAAAUGCGUAGAGAUCCGGAGGAACACCAAAGGCGAAGGCAGUGUCCUGGGGAGUACCUGACGCUCAGGUGCGAAAGCCAGGGGAGCGAACGGG